rnacentral:rRNA from 1 species
AGAAUCAACGCUGGCGGCGUGCCUAACACAUGCAAGUCGCACGAGAAAGGGGAGCAAUCCCUGAGUAAAGUGGCGCACGGGUGAGUAACACGUGAAUAAUCUACCUCCGAGUGGGGAAUAAACUGAGAGAAAUCUUGGCUAAUACCGCAUAAUACCCACGGGUCAAAGCAGCAAUGCGCUUGGAGAGGAGUUCGCGGCAGAUUAGCUAGUUGGCGGGGUAAUGGCCCACCAAGGCGAUGAUCUGUA